UGCUUGCAUAGAUAUUGAAGGUCUUC
rnacentral:piRNA from 1 species